ACAAGGACGACUAUAUAUUUCCUAGCAAACCUAGGGUUUGUGUUGUUGCGAUUCUCAUUACAUUCCUCUCUCUACCUUAAGGCGGCGUUCUGCGUCUGAUCGAAGUUUCUCCUUCACGAUGAGAGCCAAGUGGAAGAAGAAGCGUAUGAGGAGGCUGAAGAGGAAGCGCCGAAAGAUGAGGCAGAGAUCCAAGUAGAAGCCUCUAAUUUUCCGCUGUUUCUUCUUGCUGCAAUGAAUUGCUUCUAGGGUUUCGUUUAUUUCCCGUUAUUUUUCACUUUCAUUAUAUUUAAAAGGUACUUGUGUUGGCUGCUGUUUUUCGACGCUGAAAUGAACUAUUUCAUCAAUCAUAUGGACUAUUCUGUCUUUUAUCAA